rnacentral:rRNA from 1 species
UACGUAGGGUCCAAGCGUUAUCCGGAAUCACUGGGCGUAAAGCGUGCGUAGGUGGCAUGUUAAGUGUGGUGUUAAAUCGUGGGGCUCAACCCCGUCGAUGCAUCACAUACUGGCAUACUAGAGGACGGCAGAGGCAAGUGGAAUUUGUAGUGUAGCAGUGAAAUGCGUAGAGAUUACAAGGAACACCAAUGGCGAAGGCAGCUUGCUGGGCCACUCCUGACACUGAGGUACGAAAGCGUGGGGAGCGAACAGG